GACGAACCGAGCGAACGUUGUUCGGAAUCACUGGGCUUAAAGGGCGCGUAGGCGGGUGCUCAAGUCCGUGGUGAAAUCCUCCGGCUCAACCGGAGAACUGCCUCGGAUACUGGGUGCCUCGAGGGUGGUAGGGGUAUGCGGAACUAUCGGUGGAGCGGUGAAAUGCGUUGAUAUCGAUAGGAACUCCGGUGGCGAAGGCGGCAUACUGGACCACCUCUGACGCUGAGGCGCGAAAGCGUGGGGGAGCAAACAGG
rnacentral:rRNA from 1 species